ensembl:lncRNA
GAAACAUCUCAGACCCUGAAAGUCCUCAAUACGGAGCUGCAGCUUGGCGCUGCAAGGCUGCAAAGGUCACUUUCCCAGUGGGGAGAGAAUCAGCCAUUUCAGCCUGGGGAAUAAAAUCUACUUUGAACAGAAUGGUCCAGCAUAUUGGGACAUGCCACAUGAAGCUCCACUCUGCUGUCACGAAACUGCCUCUGAAAACACUUUUGCUGCUUUGCUGCACUGUGGUUCUCAAAGGAGCUGGAUGCACCUUGCAAAAGUUUGGUGAGCUCAAGUACUUCACCUGAGCUGCAGGGACAGAAUAAUCUUGAGGGCAUGGAAACCUGCAGAGAACAUCUGCUGGAUCUUCAUGUCUCUAUGACAAAGAAUUCAAGAUCCUCCCUCCCUCAAGAGCCCGAGGAAGUUUUUCCUUCACUACUCAAGACCUUCACUACUCAAUUUCAAGUUUAAUAUACUGAUUUGUAUUUCAAAUCAAAAUGAAGAUGCUUUUGUCUUGCUUCAGAAUGAUAAUUUCAAAUGAAAUUUCUCAUUCUAAAAAUACCAUGCUUAAUAAAAUCAAAACAUCUCCUUUU